AUGAUAACUCUGAAGUUUAAUAUGUGUUUACGUGCCUGCCUAAGAGUAUCAUGCCAAUUGCUUGAGCAGCGCGCAAUGAUAUGUAAUGCUGUUGCAAUUGCUGAGAUAAUGGAUGCAACACUAAUUUUACCAGUUCUGAAGCAGGACCAUAUGAAAAGACCAGACAUGGAUCAUUCAAAUAGGUGCACGAUCCAUACAAUGGUUUUCAUGGUCAUUCAAGUCGAGCGCCGAGACACUCGAGGUGAUGAGGUAGAGUUCGGUGCUUCUGCUGGUGCAUACAUAGGUUUUGGUACGAUAGCUAUUUAG
rnacentral:rRNA from 1 species